rnacentral:lncRNA from 1 species
GGGGGAACACGGGAAAGGGGAGAUAACAGAAAGACGCCUAAAAAGGGCUGAAAGCGGGGCGAUAGAGAGAGGUCGAGCUUCUUCUUCCCAAAAACUUGAAAAAACCUAGAAAAGAAAAACCUUUAAUCUCCAGGUAUCUAAACCAGCCGCAAUACACAUACGAGGCCCCCUCCUGGAUCGUCUUCUUCAGCUGUGAGAAAGAGAACAAAAAUGGACUGAAAAUCAAAAGAACAGCUGCAUCUGAGCAAAACAAAAACAGACCCCCGUCGUUCUUCUUCGACGCAGCAACCCAAACCAACGACCCCUGUUUUAUUCACGCAUAACCACUCUCUAACUCAAAAAUUCCGGCCGCUGAACAACAUACAAUACGACGCACACAUCAUGUCGCUGCUGCUUCUUCACUCUUGAACGCACGCAGCAACAGUCGAUGUCGUCACUUCCAUCAACCAUGAAACCACUCCAGAUUAGGAGCUACUGUCGUGGAUCUGUCCGGUUUGUUUUUUGUUGAAGUCCGAGCUUUCCGGUGAGCGUUGAGGUCGUUGAUCUCCAGUUCUGUCCGUGGUCGCCAGUCUGGGAUAUGCUUUGUUGAGGUCUCCGGUCUGCGAGUUUGGGGUGGAACGUUGUAGCGUGGUUUCCGUUUCCAAAAUUGAAAUUCUUGUUUUCACUGUACGCAACAAAGGUUAGAAAUCUAUCAAUGAUGGGUUCACUCUUUUAAUCUUCUAAUUAUUUCUUAUGUACAAUGCUUCUGUUUUUUUCUGUUUUAGAUCAAUUUAAAUUUUGUUACCUUUUUCUUCUUUAGUUUGUUUCUGUUUGUUAUAUCAGGAUUAAUUUUAGAAGUUACUAAAAUGUGAAGGUUUUCCAUCUAUGUUUUUAGGCUAACAUUAUUUGACAAGUCCAUGUUAGACUUAUAACGUGAAUAGGCUAUUAGUCAGCUUGAUUUUUAGAAGUUUAAUAAGUUUUGAUUUAUAAUUUAUCUAGGAUUAUUGUAGAUAAAACUGUUUCAAUAAAAUGGUUUAGGAAAUGUGGCCUUUAAUUCAUUUUAAUCUUUAGAAUUCGAGUCGUGUCAUUUAACCAAUUUCAUGGUCCUCGCAAAGUUAGAACGCGUAGGUUCUUUAGGCACGUUAGUUUAAUAAUUUUACCUUCUUAAACUCGGGUGUACAUUUCAUGUGACCCAAAUAAAUCUCAAAACGUUGAAGUAUGUCUAGGAUUGCGGGUGCAUUUCAUGUGAUGCGAUCCGAAGGCACGCUUUAAACGACGUUCACAUUUCUUUAAAAUACACAUUGAAUAAUAAGCGGUGAAAAGUAAAAUUGGCACAUAGGUUCUUUAUGUAAUAAAAUUAGAUAAAAGCUAAAUGCAACAGCUGAGCGACCGUGCUAGAACAACGGAAAUCGGGAAUGCCUAAUACCUUCUCCCGGGUUAACAGAAUUCCUUAUCCGAAUUUCUGGUACGCGGACUGUUAACAGAGUCAUGAUUUUUCUCGGUUCAGGAUGCAACCGGUGACUUGGGACACCAUUAAUCUCCCAAGUGGCGACUCUGAAUUAUUAAUAAAUAAAUACCGUUCCGAUUGUCCUUUAAGUGAAAAAACUCAUUUAUGCCCUUGUGGAUGUAGAUGAAAAAGGAGCUGUGACAAUGCCGUUGAGAUCGAUGGCCUUAGCCAUUUUGUGUUGAUGGCCUUGGCCAUGCAUGUGACUUCGACCGUAGUUGAAUCACUAGUAUAUAUAUUGGGGAUGGUCGUAGCCAUUUAUACACUAGAGAUGGCCGUAGCCUUAAUAAUGUGGACGACCUUGGCCGUUUAUAUAUUGGAGGUGGCCAUAAUGGUUUUAGCUGC